UAAUACGUAUGGGGCAAGCGUUAUCCGGAUUCAUUGGGCGUAAAGAGCGCGUAGGCGGUUUGUUAAGCGAGAUGUGAAAACCGGGGGCUCAACCCGCGGCCUGCAUCUCGAACUGGCAGACUUGAGUCUGGUAGAGGAAAGUGGAAUUCCCAGUGUAGCGGUGAAAUGCGCAGAUAUUGGGAGGAACACCAGUGGCGAAGGCGGCUUUCUGGGCCACGACUGACGCUGAGGCGCGAAAGCUAGGGGAGCAAACAGGAUUAGAUACCCUGGUAGUCCUAGCAGUAAACGAUGGGCACUAGGUGUGGGGGGUCAUCAACUCCCUCCGUGCCGCAGCUAACGCAUUAAGUGCCCCGCCUGGGGAGUACGACCGCAAGGUUA
rnacentral:rRNA from 1 species